AGCCAAGGACAUACGAUAUUAUCCGUGAGACUGCGGACGGCUCAGAAUAUCAGUGAUGAUCUGAUUGAUUGGAUAUCCCAUUGGAUAACCGUGGGAAAUCUAGAGCUAAUACAUGUACUAAAUUAAUAUUAGUCGUAAAAAAUUAAUAUUAAAGCAUUUAUUAGACUUAACCAUCUACUUUAUUAUUCGAAAGUGUGAUAUAGUAAGGCGAAUCUAGAUAACUUUGCUGAUCGUAUAGCCUUGUGCUGACGACGUUUCAAUUGAGUUUCUGCCCUAUCAAUUUGUUGGUAUGGUAUUGGCAUACCAAGGUUGCAACGGGUAACGGGGAAUCAGGGUUCGAUUCCGGAGAGGGAGCCUGAGAAACGGCUACCACAUCCAAGGAAGGCAACAGGCGCGCAAAUUACCCAAUCUAGACAGUAGGAGGUGGUAAAGAGAAUUACUAAGAGGUGGCCCUAUGGGCUACCAGCUUGGAAUGAACGUAAUUUAAGCAAUUCGAUGAGUAACUACUGGAGGGCAAGUCCUGGUGCCAGCAGCCCGCGGUAAUUCCAGCUCCAGUGGCGUGAUUUAAAGCUGUUGCGUUUAAAACGCUCGUAGUUGGAUCACGCAGUGACGUUCAGUAGUCAUCGCGUUAUACAUAUAAACUGUGGUGAGUGAUUAUUAGCCCAAAAGCGAGUAGUUGCAUCACAGUGUGUGCGUGUUGAUAUUAACGCUGGAUGUCACUAGUUGCGCGUGAGUAUGAUAGUUGACCUUGAAUGAGUUGAGUGUCAUGUCUUGCGGAGUGUGCCUUGAAUAAAACAGAGUGCUCAAAGCAGGCGAAAGCUUGAAUGUUAUAGCAUGGAACGAACAAACGUGUGAUAGCGCAUAUUUGUGUAUGUACGACGAGUUUCUGACUUGUUGUAUGUAUCGGUGUGUGCAGCACCUACCAAAGUACGGAUGUUGGUUUCGUAUACGGUGAUGAUUAAAAGGAGCGGUUGGGGGCAUUGGUAUUUGNCCGCGAGAGGUGAAAUUCUUAGACCGGUCAAGGACUAACAAAUGCGAAGGCACUUGUCUAGACCGUUUCCAUUAAUCAAGAACGAAAGUGGGAGGUUCGAAGACGAUCAGAUACCGUCCUAGUUCCCACUGUAAACUAUGCCGACCUGGGAUCAGCUUAGAGUUUGUUACAAUAUCUAAGUUGGUCCCCCUGGGAAACCUCAAGUUUUUCGGUUACGGGGAGAGUAUGGUCGCAAGGCUGAAACUUAAAGGAAUUGACGGAAGGGCACCACCAGGGGUGGAGCCUGCGGCUUAAUUUGACUCAACACGGGGAAACUUACCUGGUCCGGACAUCGAUAGGAUAGACAGACUGAUAGAUCUUUCUUGAUGCGAUGAGUGGUGGUGCAUGGCCGUUCUUAGUUCGUGGAGUGAUCUGUCAUUUUAAUUAAGGUAACGAACGAGACCACGUUCUCCAUUUAAGAUACGAAAGUAGAAUGAGAAUACGUUGUAUAUUUAAUCGUAUACACGUGAGAUGAUCAUUUGUAGGUAAUAUUGAUGAAUUUGAUUGAGUUUUAUGUGAAGAUGUAAAAAUUGGAGCAUAAGAUUUGAUUGGAGGUGGCGAUAUUCCGUUUCGUUGAGCACUAUUCGGUUUAAUACUGAAUGGUGUCUUAUGGAGAGACAACGAGGUAUAUAAAAGCUCGAGGAAGAGUGGCUAUAACAGGUCAGUGAUGCCCUUCGAUGUUCAGGGCAGCACGCGCGCUACAAUGAUAACGACAACAAGUAUCUGGGUUGAGAAACUUGGGUAAUCUUUAGAAUCGUUAUCGUGAUGGGGAUUGACCGUUGUAAUUAUCGGUCAUGAAAGAGGAAUCCCUAGUAUGUAUAUUUUAUUAGAAUAUACAGAUUGAGUCCCUGCCCUUUGUACACACCGCCCGUCGCUACUACCGAGUGAAUGGUGUCAUGAUGCCUUGGGACUGGACGUUGAACGAAGGUAAAACUUUGUUUAAUGCUGGAAUCAGCGUAGAAUGGCGCAAUUUCGAGGAAGUAAAAGUCGUAACAAGGUUUCCGUA
rnacentral:rRNA from 1 species